rnacentral:rRNA from 1 species
UACGAAGGGGGCUAGCGUUGCUCGGAAUCACUGGGCGUAAAGGGUGCGUAGGCGGGUCAUCAAGUCAGGGGUGAAAUACUCCGGCCUAACCGGAGAACGGCCUCUGAUACUGGUGACCUCGAGGGGUGUAGGGGCAUGUGGAACUUCCGGUGGAGCGGUGAAAUGCGUAGAUAUCGGAAGGAACGCCGGUGGCGAAAGCGACGUGCUGGACACCUUCUGACGCUGAGGCGCGAAAGCCAGGGGAGCAAACGGG